AUUUACUAUUUCUCUCUAUGGUGCCAUUAUUCACCUUGUCCCCGCAGUUGCAAUGUUGAAAUUAUCUUUGACUCCUCUCUCUCAUAUCUCAUAUUCAAUUAUCAAGUCCUAUUUGUUCCAACUUUGCAAAACCUCUUGAAUCCAUUCUCUCCUCUCCAUCAUUUCACUUCCAUAAUAUCCCUUAUUACUCCUAGACUACUGCAAAGGAUUCCUAACAGAUUUUCCCACCUCUAUUUUCUUCCUCCUACAGUCCAUUCUCCAUACCACCGACAGAAUGAUAUUCCUUACACACACAUCUGUCUCAUGUCAGUCGUCUCAAAAACUCAAGAAGGAUCAGAAGCCACACACUCUGGGCAAAAAAAAAAAAAAAAAAAAAACAAAAAAAACUCUUCCCACUCCAGCUAAAAAAAGUCCUCACCCUUAAAACCAGCCCAUAAUCCUUGAUUUAAAUCUCCUCACCCUGCCACUAGAGGCUAAUAUUGAGCACUCAGUUUUUGUUUAGUUUUGUUUUUCCCCCCUUUUCUGCUAACCUUUAUUAUGAUUAUUAUUAUUAUUAAAAAUUCUACAAUAGACAUAUGUCAUUAUCUGAACAUUGGUUUUAAAAUCAACAAGCAAGAAGUGGCCUUGGGAUAAUAGAAAGCAAAACACAAUUUCUCAAUUUCAAUCCAAUUCCUCUCUCCUAUUUGAUUCUGGGUCAGUCACUGUCUAGCUAUAUUACCUGUCUAAAAUAUAUAUGUACUGAAGGACUUAAUGGUUUUGUUUGUCAUUUUGGAUACCAUAAUGUGGGCAUAAACUUUCUUUUAGCACAAUAAGAUUGAGACAAAAUAUUUUCAGAACAGAAUCUCAGAGGGUAUAUAAAACUCAGCAAUCUUUUUGCUUCUUUAACACACUCUUAACAAUACUGUACUUGUUAGGUCAUGAUAGCAGAACUCAGUUUCUUGAAUAUCAGCUAUGUACAGUAGACAAAGGCAACAAUGUAGAGUAGAAAAUAGCCCUUUUUGUCUUUUCCAUUAUUAUUUAUGAUACCACUAAUUUAGCUGACUAGCUGAAUGCUUUAUCUUGCUGUAACCGAGUGUUAUUUAAAAGGAUAAUAUCAUCCCAGAGUUAAAAGGGACCUCAAAGGCCAUCCAAGCUAACCUAUACCCAAAUAAGAAUUCCCUGUAUAAUAAUCCAAAGAAGAAAUGAUCCUGCCUUUGCUUAAGGCCUCUAGGGAUGAAGGGGUACCCAAUGCCUCCUAAAACAGAUCAUUU
rnacentral:lncRNA from 1 species